rnacentral:rRNA from 1 species
CAGCCGCCACGGUAAUACAGAGGGUGCAAGCGUUAAUCGGAAUUACUGGGCGUAAAGCGCGCGUAGGUGGUUCGCCAAGUUGGAUAUGAAAUCCCCGGGCUCAACCUGGGAACUGCAUCCAAAACUGGCGAGCUAGAGUAUGGUAGAGGGUGGUGGAAUUUCCUGUGUAGCGGUGAAAUGCGUAGAUAUAGGAAGGAACAUCAGUGGCGAAGGCGACCACCUGGACUGAUACUGACACUGAGGUGCGGAAGCGUGGGGAGCAAACAGGAUUAGAUACCCCGGUAGUCCCUGUCUCUUAUAC